rnacentral:rRNA from 1 species
UACGAAGGGGCUAGCGUUUGCUCGGAAUUACUGGGCGUAAAGGGAGCGUAGGCGGAUAGUUUCAGUCAGAGGUGAAAGCCCAGGGCUCAACCUUUGGAAUUUGCCUUUUGAUACUGGCUGUCUUGAGUAUGGGAGAGGUUAGCGGAACUCCAGUGUAGAGGUGAAAUUCGUAGAUAUUCGGAAGAACACCAGUGGCGAAGGCGGCUAAACUGGCCCAUUACUGACGCUGAGGC